UACGAAGGGGGCUAGCGUUGCUCGGAAUCACUGGGCGUAAAGGGUGCGUAGGCGGGUUUUUAAGUCAGGGGUGAAAUCCUGGAGCUCAACUCCAGAACUGCCUUUGAUACUGGGAAGCUCGAGUCCGGGAGAGGUGAGUGGAACUCCGAGUGUAGAGGUGAAAUUCGUAGAUAUUCGGAAGAACACCAGUGGCGAAGGCGGCUCACUGGCCCGGUACUGACGCUGAGGUGCGAAAGCGUGGGGAGCAAACAGG
rnacentral:rRNA from 1 species